ACUGCUCAGUAACACGUGGAUAACCUGCCCUUGGGACCGGCAUAACCCCGGGAAACUGGGGAUAAUUCCGGAUAACGCAUAUUUGCUGGAAUGCUUUAUGCGUCAAAAGGAUUCGUCUGCCCAAGGAUGGGUCUGCGGCCUAUCAGGUAGUAGUGGGUGUAAUGUACCUACUAGCCAGCGACGGGUACGGGUUGUGAGAGCAAGAGCCCGGAGAUGGAUUCUGAGACAUGAAUCCAGGCCCUACGGGGCGCAGCAGGCGCGAAAACUUUACAAUGCGGGAAACCGUGAUAAGGGGACACCGAGUGCCAGCAUCAUAUGCUGGCUGUCCGGAUGUGUAAAAUACAUCCGUUAGCAAGGGCCGGGCAAGACCAGUGCCAGCCGCCGCGGUAACACCGGCGGCCCGAGUGGUGAUCGUGAUUAUUGGGUCUAAAGGGUCCGUAGCCGGUUUGGUCAGUCCUCCGGGAAAUCUGAUAGCUCAACUAUUAGGCUUUCGGGGGAUACUGCCAGACUUGGAACCGGGAGAGGUAAGAGGUACUACAGGGGUAGGAGUGAAAUCUUGUAAUCCCUGUGGGACCACCUGUGGCGAAGGCGUCUUACCAGAACGGGUUCGACGGUGAGGGACGAAAGCUGGGGGCACGAACCGGAUUAGAUACCCGGGUAGUCCCAGCCGUAAACGAUGCUCGCUAGGUGUCAGGCAUGGCGCGACCGUGUCUGGUGCCGCAGGGAAGCCGUGAAGCGAGCCACCUGGGAAGUACGGCCGCAAGGCUGAAACUUAAAGGAAUUGGCGGGGGAGCAC
rnacentral:rRNA from 1 species